rnacentral:rRNA from 1 species
GAUGAACGCUGGCGGCGUGCCUAAUACAUGCAAGUCGAGCGAACAGAUAAGGAGCUUGCUCCUUUGACGUUAGCGGCGGACGGGCGAGUAACACGUGGGUAACCUACCUAUAAGACUGGAAUAACUCCGGGAAACCGGGGCUAAUGCCGGAUAACAUUUAGAACCGCAGGGUUCUAAAGUGAAAGAUGGUUUUGCUAGCACUUAUAGAUGGACCCGCGCCGUAUUAGCUAGUUGGUAAGGUAACGGCUUACCAAGGCAACGAUACGUAGCCGACCUGAGGGGGUGAUCGGCCACACUGGAACGUAGACGCGGUCCAGACUCCUACGGGAGGCAGCAGUAGGGAAUCUUCCGCAAUGGGCGAAAGCCUGACGGAGCGACGCCGCGUGAGUGAUGAAGGUCUUCGGAUCGUAAAACUCUGUUAUUAGUGAAGAACAAAUGUGUAAGUAACUGUGCACGUCUUGACGGUACCUAAUCAGAAAGCCCCGGCUAACUACGUG